ACUUACGAUUUCUGGAAAUUAAAACAAACAAAAACAGAAAAAAAUCUAAAACUAAAAUAUCCCCACGUCAUCCCCUCCUAAGGCUUUUAGCCUUACCUUAUGUUGAUAUUAUCUUCAGCCGAUACAAGUUCACAGGUCACGUACAUCUCCUAGACGCUAGAAACUUUCCUACGACGAGAUUUUUGCCGCUAGAGCUCAUCAUGUCAGCUUCCUGGGAUAUUCUUAGCGCGUUAUUUUUUCUGGAAAUAUCCUCAGCCGGAUCUUUCAUUCCAUCGUACUUAGCUUCUGUUUUUAUCCCCUGAUAUUUCUCAUCUCGUUCUCUGUUUCUUUGCUGUGGAGCACCAACAGCCUUAUCCCCACCACCGCUCAUCUCCUAUGGCCUAAGCACGCGCGUCUUCCUGCUCUAUCUCCCCUGCGCCCAGCUGAGCUUCUCUCUUAUCCUGUUCCUGGCGUCUCCUUCAAUCGCUCCUGUCCACGCGCGCUCACCCAGCCGUCUUCUUCUAGCUGCUGGACGCGGCUCGCCCCUGGCUCGGACCUUUCUUCCACCGCGCGUCUCCUCUGCUCCUUCGGCCGACCGCGCGUCCUUCUCCCUCUGUGAGCUAGCGCGCCCAGCUCCUAUUCUCCAUGCCGAGUUUCUUCUUCUACAGCUCGCCCCAGCCCGGAGCUCUCCCUGACUGCGCGCUCUGUUUCUCCUUGCCGAGCGCCGCUCGCCCAGCCGCGAACGCCCAUGGCGCCCAGCCCAGUCGAUCUCUCUCCGCGCGCGUUCCUGUUUCUCCGUCGCCUUGUUGCUCGCCCGUCUGCGCGCCCUUCGUCCAUGGUCGCCGUCCGCCGUCGAUCCCCUCACGCAGGCCGCGAGCUGUCUGUUCGCCGUAGUCGAGCCGUUCUCAAUUGCUCGCCGUCGAAGCUCCCCUGUUGGCUGCAUCCUGCUCGCCUUUGCGUCGCGCGCAUAGCUUCUGUUGUUCUCGCGCGCGCGAAGCUCUUUGCUCGUCAACGCUCCAGCUUUAGCUCGUUGCGCGCCCUGCUCCCUGUUGUCGCGAGCUCCAGCCCGGAUUUCGCUUUGUCGCCCAGCUCGGCACUGCUCCUCCCUGUGUACAUCUCACAUGACUGUCUGCUCUAGCUCGCCGUAGUCCCUGCGCGCGUCGAGCUUUCGUGUGGAGCUCUCUGCUCACGCGCAGCUCGCUCUUUCUUUGUUGCCGCGUGCACGAAUUUUAUCUGCUCGUCACAGCAUGUCGAGUUCCCGCACCAUCAUCAUCGCUUCUGUUGCAAGCUCGUUGGCCACAGUUAUCUUGACCGCGUCAGCUCGCGACUGUGGUCGUGUUCAUCGAAUUCGCCAACACUUUGUUGCCGAUUCGACUGCCGUCGUUCCGCGCGUCAGCAAGAAAUCCCAAGAAUCGGGUGAAGACGAAGCUAGCAGCGCGAUAUUCUCCAAGCGCUCGACAAAUUGCCUGGAUCGAAAAAUCACUACCGAUCUCGCGGAUCGUGUCAGCUAUGGAAACGGAACGUUAAUCAAUCGCGCGAUGCGGAAGACAAGCCAAGUCGACCCCAAGCGCGGGCUACUCCGCAGGAUGAUGCUGAUGGACAAGCCUGAAGAUACUCGUCAAGUGGACGUCACCUAACAACACUAACCUAGUGUUACUCAGGCAAGCCCCGGUGCAUGCAACCCCUUUCCUUGUGUUUUUAAAUACUUUUCGCACACUUAAGUCUAGUGAAAUGUGCAUUAAGUUCAUAGGAGUUGCUUGGAACCCUUUGAUGCAUUACUUUCCUUGAUAUCCAUACCUUUAUAGAUACUUCUGUGAAGUAUCAAAAUAUGUUUUACAAAAAUGCUUAGCCUUGCUUAGAUCUUGUGGAUAGAGGUUGUCCUCAAUUUAACCCGGGAGGGGAUGGCUUCUACCUGCAAGAAUAUUUUCAUUUGGAGCAAUAGUGGGAUCUUACUGCAAAGCUCCCUGUGAUGCUCUUUCAUCCUAAGGAACAGACACAAUCCUAAGGAUGGGAAUACUGAAAUUGAGACUUGGGUUAGGAACAGGUGAUGUUCUACCCAGGUUGGUUAAGGAUUAACGCGUAUGUAGGCGUGCUGACCGAGGACCCUUUAACUGGUCACAUGCCUCGUCAUGGGUAAGUCUUGCCUCGGGCAGACUAAGGCCGGAAUAAGAUAACACGAAAUGGGCGUGGAGCGGUGGCGAGAGUAGCGUGUACCCUCCGUGGCAAGAGGCUGGACGGUGGUGUAUCUGUGCUCUCGGUUUGCGUGAACCUGAUCCGGUCUUAAGAACCCCGGUGGCGGGUUGACAUAUGCAAGGGUUAAGUGCUACAUAUGUCGUGUGAUUUGUGUUACUUAAUCCCGCGGUUCUGGUUGUUCGUGGUUUAUCCGAUGUCCUUGGGGCAAUCAGACGGAUCCUGUUAAGUUAUCUGGUGCACAUGCAUAGCAGUCUGAGGUCUUUGAGACAAGGACAGGUGCAUGUGGGCCCAAUAACUUGGGAGGUUCUGCCACAGCUGGUAUCGGAGCUGGAUUAAGUAUAUACAGUCACAUACAUAUUUUCAAAACAAAAGUUUUGGUUUUGAAAAACCUAUUUUCAACUAAACACAUUGUUUGGUUUUGAAAAACCGUUUUAAAAAAAACUAUAAUGCUAGCGACAUCCUCUCUUAAGCCCUAAAUUAAGGAUUAUCAGGUGGCUUAGUUGAAAACCACAACCGGGGGUAUUGCAUACAUGUGUAUUGUUAUUUUUGAGGCCAUUCAGUUUUGAAUGGAUCGACGCUCAAGGUAAGGUGAGAUGUGAGAGCAUGACCGAACAGCCGCCGGUCUAGGGGAAUGCUUAAUUGUGGCGCUUGAUUAUAUACAUGUUCUAUAUAUGUAUAUAUGAAAGCUGCGAUGUGGAGUAUUUACUUUCUGGGAAUUCAGUACCCCAUGGAUGUGUAUGGGUAUACAGACAUGGGAGUACUGAGAAGUGUAAUGUACUUGUAACGACGCACCUACGCUCAGGUAAGAAGGUGAGUUACCAUAAUGAGUUGCCCUAUGGUUAAAAGUGUGGCAACGGCGCCUAUGCGUGGCUCGGCGCUUAAUGAUGAGCUGGCCUCCAUACAACAAUAUAUGGAGUAUAAACUGUGAUAAACUGUCAUGUGUGACUUGCAUCAUUGGGAAUUGGGCUGUAAUGGAUUUUCUGCAGGUACACUAACCUCGAAAACGUAUGUGUAGUUGACGACUAGCAAAAUACCGUGAGAGUCGUAACUAUGCCACCGAGAUAGAACGCUAUUGCCACAUUUGGUUGGCAAAAUCAGUGAGGACGAAUAGGACGAGCAUGCAUCCUGAUUGUUGCAUCAUGUUUGUCGCCUAUACACCCAAAAUGCUUCUCUCAUCUUUAUUCCAGUAACCAUUGAUUGUAAAUAAUAUGGUGUCUUAAAGCUACAUGUUUAGAUAGCUUUCAGGCUAUUUUGAUUUGACCAUUAGUGUAAAUGGUGUUUGCUCUUGUGCUUGAUGUACUAAUAGAAAGUUAGUGACUUGUUUGCCUAAACCCAAAUCUAGGCCAUGUUCUUAGUUGGUGAACCAUGAUCAAGGUUGAUUUUUCCGUUACCCCUCCUUGACCCAAAUUUAUACAAAUGAAUGCUUAGAUAAUUUCUUCGUUGGACAAAAAGGGUACUUAAGCUUAAAAUAAUAAUCUCGACUCAUAUUUCCAUCUUAGACCCUACCCUUGACAAUUGGUACAAGCUGAUGUACCUUAUCCAGUUUGCCUGUUUUUAAGGAUCGCCAUGUCACUUUAUCAACCUAUCCUAGGAAAGACAUGUCCAACCAUUUUUCUGGAAUUUGAUGUCUUUGGUUUCCCCCAUAUCUAUCGAAGGCAUUCCAACUUAAUCUUAAGAUUGUUUUUCCCUGUAUCUAGUUAGAUACUGAUCCUUGACCUUGUGAUCUCUACGAUGGGCAUAGAAAUAUGCUUGGGGCUGAAGUAACAGUCUCCUGUCGUACUCCUUUCAUCAAAUUUAGGUUAUGGCCAUGCCUUGUUUAUUUCAUCGGGCCAUAAUCUAUUUGGCUCUCUACUUGUAACCAUUCUUACAGGUGGAGUAUCUCUUUGUAUAUUGUCACCCUUGCCUAAUUCAUUGGUGUCACGCGAGAUUUCUUAUUGGUUACGUCUGGUAAUGGUGUUGUGACUAAAACCGACGGUGUCGCGACGAAACCGAGGGCCUCCUGUGGGUAUACACACAAGGUUGUGCUGCUCGGCACGCGCUGGUAUCACCGUUAGUAGUUGUAAUCCAUUAUGAGACUAUAUCAAUGCGUUAUCUUGGCCCAAUCUAUUUUUGCUACGUGAGAUUCAUUAUUGGUGCCAGUUCGGUGAUGGUGUCAUGAUUAAGGACUUAUGGUGCCACAGCGAAACUGAGAGCCCCUUGUGAAUGUACACGCAAGGUUCUGCUGCUUAGCGCAUGCUGGUAUCAAGGUCUCUAGUCAUGAUCCAUUAUGGAACUACACUGAUGUGUUAUCUUCCGUGGACUCCUUCUUUGAAACAAUUUCUAUGUUGUUUGUUAAAUGAUCAAGCAACAUCUGUCAUCUCCGUUGGAUCAAAAGGGCAUACCACUCUCAUGUGUGGUCUUAUUUCUUUUGAUCUUGGUAGUGACUACUCAUACCCGUUCCCUUUACAUCCUUUGUGUAAAGGUCAAGCCUUGGAGCUUUUUAGUGUCGAGAGACAACUGAUUAGCUCUCAAAAUGGAGAUUUGUUUCCCCUGCUGCUGAGAUGCCAGAAUUUGUUCAUUCGCUCUCUUAUUUAAUCCAUGUAUUCCCUAACCAAGUGGAUAAUUCAUCUCGCCUGAAGAAAUGGAUAAACAACCUGACCAAAUAGAUUUCUACCUAAAUGCACGAUCAACUGUUAACCAGAGUGAACUCUCAACCGUUGGCUUACCGAUGGUACUGAGAGGACAUGCCCAAUGUCAAAAAUAGUUCAACAAGUUGGUUUUACUAACUUGUAACUGCCCAAUGAACAAAGGUUGAGUUUAGAGAUCGAUUUGUCGAGUUAUCUAAACUCACUUUGGCACAAACCAUCCUGAGAAAUUACUUACAAAAACCAAGUUAAUUCGACUAGUAACCACCUAAUCAUCGCUCUAGUCGUGCCUCGAUCGUCUCGCGUGUGCUUUUCCAGCAUGAGUGAUCAAGUCGAGCCAUGACUAGUGCUUGAUAAAAUGGAUUGGUUGCAGAGCCAACAUCAACGGAUCUCUUCGUUGAUAUUUUACGAGUCUUUAUCAUUUCUCUUGGACUUGGAUUUUCUGGCUAGCCACGGGUCAACUGUGGUGUUGUUCGACAUCCGCACUUGUCACGUGUGCUAUGAGCUUACCGUAACCACUUGUUGGUAAACCUCUUUCUGGGUGUUUUACCCAAGAUGGUGCAUCUGAUUCUGUUUAGGUAAAAUCGCGCAUUAGUCGCUCUCUCAACAGACUCAGAUAGUACAGUGUCAUCAGAAAAAGCAAACUGCACACAUGAAACCUUAUGUGUUCUUCUGGCAGACAUCAACUGUAUUGUUGGACAUCUCUAAAUUAGCCUAAGGCAAUACAUGAUAUGUCCACUAGAGAAACCCUAUCCUGAGGCACUCGCCUUCGUUCAAGCUUGCCUUAUGAUUACCGCUGAUAUGGACGUGGAUUACAUGCUUCUCUACUCUUAAAAGUCUUUCGUUCCGAAUCUCGGGACGAGAUUCUUUUAAGGGGGGAGGGCUGUAACACCCCAGGUGUUUAUAUUCCGCUCGACAACGAGUACGGAUUUAAGCACGUAAGAUCAGUGAAUAAGACGGACACUAGGGUCUAAUUAUUUUCACCUAUCGCGAUUUUAAUAUCGCAUCUGUUCCGUUUGUCGCGAGUGCGACGUCGUUUUUAUUUUUAUCUGUCCGUGCUCUUCCUAAAUUUCUGUGAUGAUCGGAAUAUAGUUGUUCCGAAAAUCAGUGCGUCCGAUGAGUAUUUAAAAUUCAUCGUCCGCGAAUACGAAUUCAGAAGUCCGAACUCACUCGGAUGGUUUUAUCCCGGAUAAAUUAAUUUGAACUCGACAACUAAAAUUAUUCGGAGUAAAAUAAUCUAAAUCGCGCAUCGCCGAGAGAAAUCAUGCGCAAGACUAAUAAUCAGAAGUAUUUGGUAAUUAGAGCCGGACUCGAAUAAUUUCUAGUCGGUUUAACUUUAACGAAAUUAGUCGUAAAUUAAAAUACCGAAGUCGAAAUCCGUUAAUUCAGUCCAUUUACGUCCUGUCCGAAACAAACCAGACGACUGUAAUAAUUAGUACUAACAGCAAGUAAUUGGUACGUGAUUUAGUUCGCUAAAUCAAAAACCGAGACAGCUCGUCCGAGAAAUUUUAAUUGAACUCCAAUUCACUGGUAAAUUAUCCGUGGCUGUGGAACCAGGUGUUCAGACACGGAUGAAAUUAUUGAUUUCGAAUCAAUAGGAAUACAAUUCAAAAUACUGUUCUAAUUUAUUCCGAUUACGUCUCGCUCCGCUCAGGACUUAGAGAUACUUACGAUUUCUGGAAAUUAAAACAAACAAAAACAGAAAAAAAUCUAAAACUAAAAUAUCCCCACGUCAUCCCCUCCUAAGGCUUUUAGCCUUACCUUAUGUUGAUAUUAUCUUCAGCCGAUACAAGUUCACAGGUCACGUACAUCUCCUAGACGCUAGAAACUUUCCUACGACGAGAUUUUUGCCGCUAGAGCUCAUCAUGUCAGCUUCCUGGGAUAUUCUUAGCGCGUUAUUUUUUCUGGAAAUAUCCUCAGCCGGAUCUUUCAUUCCAUCGUACUUAGCUUCUGUUUUUAUCCCCUGAUAUUUCUCAUCUCGUUCUCUGUUUCUUUGCUGUGGAGCACCAACAGCCUUAUCCCCACCACCGCUCAUCUCCUAUGGCCUAAGCACGCGCGUCUUCCUGCUCUAUCUCCCCUGCGCCCAGCUGAGCUUCUCUCUUAUCCUGUUCCUGGCGUCUCCUUCAAUCGCUCCUGUCCACGCGCGCUCACCCAGCCGUCUUCUUCUAGCUGCUGGACGCGGCUCGCCCCUGGCUCGGACCUUUCUUCCACCGCGCGUCUCCUCUGCUCCUUCGGCCGACCGCGCGUCCUUCUCCCUCUGUGAGCUAGCGCGCCCAGCUCCUAUUCUCCAUGCCGAGUUUCUUCUUCUACAGCUCGCCCCAGCCCGGAGCUCUCCCUGACUGCGCGCUCUGUUUCUCCUUGCCGAGCGCCGCUCGCCCAGCCGCGAACGCCCAUGGCGCCCAGCCCAGUCGAUCUCUCUCCGCGCGCGUUCCUGUUUCUCCGUCGCCUUGUUGCUCGCCCGUCUGCGCGCCCUUCGUCCAUGGUCGCCGUCCGCCGUCGAUCCCCUCACGCAGGCCGCGAGCUGUCUGUUCGCCGUAGUCGAGCCGUUCUCAAUUGCUCGCCGUCGAAGCUCCCCUGUUGGCUGCAUCCUGCUCGCCUUUGCGUCGCGCGCAUAGCUUCUGUUGUUCUCGCGCGCGCGAAGCUCUUUGCUCGUCAACGCUCCAGCUUUAGCUCGUUGCGCGCCCUGCUCCCUGUUGUCGCGAGCUCCAGCCCGGAUUUCGCUUUGUCGCCCAGCUCGGCACUGCUCCUCCCUGUGUACAUCUCACAUGACUGUCUGCUCUAGCUCGCCGUAGUCCCUGCGCGCGUCGAGCUUUCGUGUGGAGCUCUCUGCUCACGCGCAGCUCGCUCUUUCUUUGUUGCCGCGUGCACGAAUUUUAUCUGCUCGUCACAGCAUGUCGAGUUCCCGCACCAUCAUCAUCGCUUCUGUUGCAAGCUCGUUGGCCACAGUUAUCUUGACCGCGUCAGCUCGCGACUGUGGUCGUGUUCAUCGAAUUCGCCAACACUUUGUUGCCGAUUCGACUGCCGUCGUUCCGCGCGUCAGCAAGAAAUCCCAAGAAUCGGGUGAAGACGAAGCUAGCAGCGCGAUAUUCUCCAAGCGCUCGACAAAUUGCCUGGAUCGAAAAAUCACUACCGAUCUCGCGGAUCGUGUCAGCUAUGGAAACGGAACGUUAAUCAAUCGCGCGAUGCGGAAGACAAGCCAAGUCGACCCCAAGCGCGGGCUACUCCGCAGGAUGAUGCUGAUGGACAAGCCUGAAGAUACUCGUCAAGUGGACGUCACCUAACAACACUAACCUAGUGUUACUCAGGCAAGCCCCGGUGCAUGCAACCCCUUUCCUUGUGUUUUUAAAUACUUUUCGCACACUUAAGUCUAGUGAAAUGUGCAUUAAGUUCAUAGGAGUUGCUUGGAACCCUUUGAUGCAUUACUUUCCUUGAUAUCCAUACCUUUAUAGAUACUUCUGUGAAGUAUCAAAAUAUGUUUUACAAAAAUGCUUAGCCUUACUUAGAUCUUGUGGAUAGAGGUUGUCCUCAAUUUAACCCGGGAGGGGAUGGCUUCUACCUGCAAGAAUAUUUUCAUUUGGAGCAAUAGUGGGAUCUUACUGCAAAGCUCCCUGUGAUGCUCUUUCAUCCUAAGGAACAGACACAAUCCUAAGGAUGGGAAUACUGAAAUUGAGACUUGGGUUAGGAACAGGUGAUGUUCUACCCAGGUUGGUUAAGGAUUAACGCGUAUGUAGGCGUGCUGACCGAGGACCCUUUAACUGGUCACAUGCCUCGUCAUGGGUAAGCCUUGCCUCGGGCAGACUAAGGCCGGAAUAAGAUAACACGAAAUGGGCGUGGAGCGGUGGCGAGAGUAGCGUGUACCCUCCGUGGCAAGAGGCUGGACGGUGGUGUAUCUGUGCUCUCGGUUUGCGUGAACCUGAUCCGGUCUUAAGAACCCCGGUGGCGGGUUGACAUAUGCAAGGGUUAAGUGCUACAUAUGUCGUGUGAUUUGUGUUACUUAAUCCCGCGGUUCUGGUUGUUCGUGGUUUAUCCGAUGUCCUUGGGGCAAUCGGACGGAUCCUGUUAAGUUAUCUGGUGCACAUGCAUAGCAGUCUGAGGUCUUUGAGACAAGGACAGGUGCAUGUGGGCCCAAUAACUUGGGAGGUUCUGCCACAGCUGGUAUCGGAGCUGGAUUAAGUAUAUACAGUCACAUACAUAUUUUCAAAACAAAAGUUUUGGUUUUGAAAAACCUAUUUUCAACUAAACACAUUGUUUGGUUUUGAAAAACCGUUUUAAAAAAAAACUAUAAUGCUAGCGACAUCCUCUCUUAAGCCCUAAAUUAAGGAUUAUCAGGUGGCUUAGUUGAAAACCACAACCGGGGGUAUUGCAUACAUGUGUAUUGUUAUUUUUGAGGCCAUUCAGUUUUGAAUGGAUCGACGCUCAAGGUAAGGUGAGAUGUGAGAGCAUGACCGAACAGCCGCCGGUCUAGGGGAAUGCUUAAUUGUGGCGCUUGAUUAUAUACAUGUUCUAUAUAUGUAUAUAUGAAAGCUGCGAUGUGGAGUAUUUACUUUCUGGGAAUUCAGUACCCCAUGGAUGUGUAUGGGUAUACAGACAUGGGAGUACUGAGAAGUGUAAUGUACUUGUAACGACGCACCUACGCUCAGGUAAGAAGGUGAGUUACCAUAAUGAGUUGCCCUAUGGUUAAAAGUGUGGCAACGGCGCCUAUGCGUGGCUCGGCGCUUAAUGAUGAGCUGGCCUCCAUACAACAAUAUAUGGAGUAUAAACUGUGAUAAACUGUCAUGUGUGACUUGCAUCAUUGGGAAUUGGGCUGUAAUGGAUUUUCUGCAGGUACACUAACCUCGAAAACGUAUGUGUAGUUGACGACUAGCAAAAUACCGUGAGAGUCGUAACUAUGCCACCGAGAUAGAACGCUAUUGCCACAUUUGGUUGGCAAAAUCAGUGAGGACGAAUAGGACGAGCAUGCAUCCUGAUUGUUGCAUCAUGUUUGUCGCCUAUACACCCAAAAUGCUUCUCUCAUCUUUAUUCCAGUAACCAUUGAUUGUAAAUAAUAUGGUGUCUUAAAGCUACAUGUUUAGAUAGCUUUCAGGCUAUUUUGAUUUGACCAUUAGUGUAAAUGGUGUUUGCUCUUGUGCUUGAUGUACUAAUAGAAAGUUAGUGACUUGUUUGCCUAAACCCAAAUCUAGGCCAUGUUCUUAGUUGGUGAACCAUGAUCAAGGUUGAUUUUUCCGUUACCCCUCCUUGACCCAAAUUUAUACAAAUGAAUGCUUAGAUAAUUUCUUCGUUGGACAAAAAGGGUACUUAAGCUUAAAAUAAUAAUCUCGACUCAUAUUUCCAUCUUAGACCCUACCCUUGACAAUUGGUACAAGCUGAUGUACCUUAUCCAGUUUGCCUGUUUUUAAGGAUCGCCAUGUCACUUUAUCAACCUAUCCUAGGAAAGACAUGUCCAACCAUUUUUCUGGAAUUUGAUGUCUUUGGUUUCCCCCAUAUCUAUCGAAGGCAUUCCAACUUAAUCUUAAGAUUGUUUUUCCCUGUAUCUAGUUAGAUACUGAUCCUUGACCUUGUGAUCUCUACGAUGGGCAUAGAAAUAUGCUUGGGGCUGAAGUAACAGUCUCCUGUCGUACUCCUUUCAUCAAAUUUAGGUUAUGGCCAUGCCUUGUUUAUUUCAUCGGGCCAUAAUCUAUUUGGCUCUCUACUUGUAACCAUUCUUACAGGUGGAGUAUCUCUUUGUAUAUUGUCACCCUUGCCUAAUUCAUUGGUGUCACGCGAGAUUUCUUAUUGGUUACGUCUGGUAAUGGUGUUGUGACUAAAACCGACGGUGUCGCGACGAAACCGAGGGCCUCCUGUGGGUAUACACACAAGGUUGUGCUGCUCGGCACGCGCUGGUAUCACCGUUAGUAGUUGUAAUCCAUUAUGAGACUAUAUCAAUGCGUUAUCUUGGCCCAAUCUAUUUUUGCUACGUGAGAUUCAUUAUUGGUGCCAGUUCGGUGAUGGUGUCAUGAUUAAGGACUUAUGGUGCCACAGCGAAACUGAGAGCCCCUUGUGAAUGUACACGCAAGGUUCUGCUGCUUAGCGCAUGCUGGUAUCAAGGUCUCUAGUCAUGAUCCAUUAUGGAACUACACUGAUGUGUUAUCUUCCGUGGACUCCUUCUUUGAAACAAUUUCUAUGUUGUUUGUUAAAUGAUCAAGCAACAUCUGUCAUCUCCGUUGGAUCAAAAGGGCAUACCACUCUCAUGUGUGGUCUUAUUUCUUUUGAUCUUGGUAGUGACUACUCAUACCCGUUCCCUUUACAUCCUUUGUGUAAAGGUCAAGCCUUGGAGCUUUUUAGUGUCGAGAGACAACUGAUUAGCUCUCAAAAUGGAGAUUUGUUUCCCCUGCUGCUGAGAUGCCAGAAUUUGUUCAUUCGCUCUCUUAUUUAAUCCAUGUAUUCCCUAACCAAGUGGAUAAUUCAUCUCGCCUGAAGAAAUGGAUAAACAACCUGACCAAAUAGAUUUCUACCUAAAUGCACGAUCAACUGUUAACCAGAGUGAACUCUCAACCGUUGGCUUACCGAUGGUACUGAGAAAUGGAUAAUGAAUCACUAUUUGAGAUAAUUAGAAGUUGGUAGACUUUAAUAAAAGUUAGAGUACUUAAGUUUAUGGACUUAAACACCUAAGUUUAGGAACUUAAAACCAGGUAAUAAUUUAAUCCCACCACUGACUUAGACCUGAUUAGUGGAUAAUGAAUCACUUUGUAUAGUCCUCUACCCCAGACCUAGGGAACACCAGAGAGCCUAUCCUUUUUCUACUACGAACUUGUGAUCUCUUUGCUGCAUAUGUUUGGUAUGUUGCUUUUGUUUGUUAUCUUCCCAAGUGCAUAGUGUGAAUGAUUACUUUACGUAGACAACGAGCAGUCUGUGUUUCCCGAGGAGGUUGCAGAGGAAGUCCCUGAUCAGCAGUUUGGUGAAGGCAAGUGUCCUCUGUCCCAUUAUGUCCUAUUCAUUUAUAACUUACUACCCCGCAUUACUUACUUGAAACCUAAGGAUUGACUAGCUUUACACUUUACUUUAUCCUUGAUGACCUUAUGGGCUGUUAUGGUUAGCACUCUGCUAUUGCUUUAACUUAAUCAAUGAACAUGAUGUGACUAUUUAUGAUACUGUUAUCCCGAUGAUGUUGAUGAUCUUGUGAUACUCUAGGGGGCUCAGGCUGUUUCCUGAGUACCUCUCCGUAAGGACUUGUUCGUUGAGAGACCACCCGGGAUAACAGUGCAACCAUGAGGGUGAAAUGGGAUGCCCUUAGCUGAUUAAUUGGAUGAACUAGAGGUGUAGUUGCUUAGCCGUCGUGCCGUCAAUGGGGUCCAGGCACAGUGCUUGCUCUGCCGAGGCUGAGUGCCGAGGUUCUUUCGUUUUGCUCUUUGUUAGUCACUCUCCUGCGGGGAGGGGUACUGUGUUUAUCAAACUGGAGAAACCUAACGGGCAGCUAUGAUCUCUAGGGAAUCUUUGUAAAAGCUAUGUAGUGAUGCCCUGCCGGACCACCUAGGUAGUGGUCAAUGGGGAUUAGCUCUCCCCGGGUAGAAAGGGAAUCAUGACUCAUGGGUAAAGUGUGCAACCUCUGCAGAGGGUAGUGAAACUGGUAUAUCAGCCGUGCUCACGGUUAAGAGCAGCCUUGGGAUCCUCUUUGAUUAGAGAUACAGAUGGUUCGAUAUACAAUGGUUCUAUUUAUGAUUUUGGUUCGAUGGUGAUAAUGAUGUUCCUCGAUGAGGAAAUGAUUCACGGGUUGGUUAUUGCUAAAACUUGGCUUCACUAAUAAUAAAUACCUGACCAACUAAAAGCAACUGCUUGAGCUUAACCCCACAUAAAGCUAGUCCACUUCAGCCAAACGGGACAUUUGCUGAGUACGUUGAUGUGUACUCAUCCUUGCUUUACCACAAAACACCAGGUUGCCCGCACUGUAACCACUGCUCAGGAGAAGGCGAAGUCGUGGAAGGAGACUUCCAGGAGUUCCAAGACUACGACGAGUUUUAGAUGUGGGUUGGCGGAAACCCCCAGUCAGCUGCCUGUGGAGGCCUUAUCUUUACUGCGUUUCGCUAGUACUUUGAUUUACCUGUUAAGACAAUGACUAUGUGGAUGUCUAUGACUCUGUGAUGUAAUAAGUUAAUACUCUUUUAUG